UAUAAAAAAAAAAAAAAACAAUAAUUUAUAUAAGUGAUCCCCAAUUCAACAUUAGGCAUAAACCACUGCUGUACAUUUUCUACCAUCAUGGACCACUACUUAAUUCCACUCCACCCUCACUUAAUUCUUUAUAAUUUAUAUGUUCAUAUGCAUCUGUUUGCCACAGCCAACCUUAUGUUUAUUUUGCUAUGCAUGUUGUUUUUCUGGUCCCGUGUUACUCCUAGAUAUUGAAAAUCUCUUACCUAUUCUAUUGUGUUUAAUUGGCAAAGCAAUAUUAUUAACUGAUCCGCACAGAAUCAUUUUUCAUUAGCAAUGAUAAUUUAGCAUAGAUAACUGUUAACUGUUAGGUAGAUAUAUAUUAAAUUUCCUGUUUACCUUCCCAACUUCUUACCUACAAGAGUGGCCUUCCCAUAUGUGAAGUAUGUUUAUUUUUUAGACUUUGAGUAUAUCGAAGAAUGUAUUGGUUUUACAAAGAUGUAUAUUUUUUUUUUUUUAUAUAUAUAUACUGUGUAAACAAAUUCCACCAGAAAUCUUGCACCAUUUCUAAAAGGAAACAUUGUCAUUAUUUUGGGAGGUCAUAUUUUGAUUUUCCAAAUGGUUUUCAUAAUAUCUAGAUAAAACGUUAGAAAACUGCAAAUUUAGGAAAAUAAUGCUUUUAUUAUUUUUCAAUUUUAUUAUUUGUUGUAUUUAAAUUAAAAAUAUUUGUAUAGACUUGAUAUUUGGACAGGAAAAGUUAUAUUUGCCUUUUAUAGACAUGAUCAAUUUUCAAAACAUUUGAG